UUCCGGCUCGAAGGACUUCGUGC
rnacentral:piRNA from 1 species